AUGAGGGACUUGGGCUACUCGGGUCCCAAAUUUACUUGGUGCAACCGUCAGGAUCCAAGUGGCUAUGUGAAAGUCCGUCUUGACAGGGCUGUGGUGAACACUGAUUUUACUGAUUGUUUUGAUGGAUGUCAUGUUGAAAACAUUAUUGCCACAUCAUCUGAUCAUUAUGCUAUUCGAAUUGGUCUAUCUAGCUUUGUGAGAGAGUGUGAACAACGUCCGGUGCAACAGGGUUUCAAGUUUGAGGCCAUGUGGUUGCGCGCCACUGAUUAUAAGGACACUAUGGAGCAAGCUUGGGCCGUUGACAGAUCUAGCGAACUAUCUCUCCAAUCCACAUGGGAUAAUUUGCAGAACGUGGCUGCUUCCUUGAAGACUUGGAGCCGUGACAGUUUUGGUUCUGUUUGAAAGCAAAUUUCAAAGUUGGAAAGACGAUUGUUGUCUAUUAGGACUGCUCCAGCCUCGGAUGCAUCAAUCGUUGAGGAACGUAAUCUUGAGAAAAAUUUAUGUGAGCUAUUUGAACGGGAAGAGAUCAUGGAGCGUCAACGAUCCCGGAUUGACUGGCUUAAAGAGGAGGACCGGAACACCAGUUUUUUCCAAGCACGCGCCAAAGCUCGAAGACGUACCAAUAGAAUCCAAUGCCUUCAGAGGGAUGGUGGUUCAUUUUGUGAGACUCAAGGUGAUAUUAAAGGUAUGGUGCAAAAAUUUUAUGAUGAGCUUUUUUCUUCUCAACCUUGUGAUACUGCUACGGUUCUUGAUGCUAUUCCUCAAAAAGUU
rnacentral:rRNA from 1 species